rnacentral:ncRNA from 1 species
UCCCGACAAAGGCACCCCGGUCGCGAGGCCGGUCCGCAAAGCUAGGGGUCUCCCGCAGACAGCCCGGUCGCCAAA